rnacentral:rRNA from 1 species
AAAGCGGGAGCAAUCUCGCAAGUACAGUGGCGUACGGGUGAGUAACACGUGGAUGAUCUACCUUUUAGUGGGGAAUAACGCUGGGAAACCGGCGCUAAUACCGCAUAAGCUCGAGAGAGGAAAGCAGCAAUGCGCUGAAAGAGGAGUCCGCGGCCGAUUAGCUAGUUGGGAGGGUAAAAGCCUACCAAGGCAUAGAUCGGUAGCCGGCCUGAGAGGGCACACGGCCACACUGACACUGAAACACGGGCCAGACUCCUACGGGAGGCAGCAGUGGGGAAUCUUGCACAAUGGGGGCAACCCUGAUGCAGCGACGCCGCGUGAGCGAUGAAGCCCUUCGGGGUGUAAAGCUCUUUCGUCAGGGACGAUAAUGACGGUACCUGGAGAAGCAGCUGCGGCUAACUACGUGCCAGCAGCCGCGGUAAUACGUAGGCAGCGAGCGUUGUUCGGAGUUACUGGGCGUAAAGGGUGUGUAGGCGGUUUUCUAAGUUUGGUGUGAAAUCUCCCGGCUCAACCGGGAGGGUGCGCCGAAAACUGGGAGACUAGAGUGCGGGAUGGGAGAGUAGAAUUCCUGGUGUAGCGGUGAAAUGCGUAGAUAUCAGGAGGAAUACCGGUGGUGUAGACGGCUCUCUGGACCGCCACUGACGCUGAGACACGAAAGCGUGGGUAGCAAACAGGAUUAGAUACCCUGGUAGUCCACGCCCUAAACGAUGCAUAUUUGGUGUAGGUCAUUCAGUUGAUCUGUGCCGGAGCUAACGCGUUAAAUAUGCCGCCUGGGGAGUACAGUCGCAAGGCUGAAACUC